AACGAACGCUGGCGGCAGGCUUAACACAUGCAAGUCGAGCGCCCCGCAAGGGGAGCGGCAGACGGGUGAGUAACGCGUGGGAAUCUACCCAUCUCUACGGGAUAACGCAUGGAAACGUGUGCUAAUACCGUAUACGUCCUUCGGGAGAAAGAUUUAUCGGAGAUGGAUGAGCCCGCGUUGGAUUAGCUAGUUGGUGGGGUAAAGGCCUACCAAGGCGACGAUCCAUAGCUGGUCUGAGAGGAUGAUCAGCCACACUGGGACUGAGACACGGCCCAGACUCCUACGGGAGGCAGCAGUGGAGAAUAUUGGACAAUGGGCGCAAGCCUGAUCCAGCCAUGCCGCGUGAGUGAUGAAGGCCCUAGGGUUGUAAAGCUCUUUCACCGGUGAAGACAAUGACGGUAACCGGAGAAGAAGCCCCGGCUAACUUCGUGCCAGCCGCCGCGGUAACAC
rnacentral:rRNA from 1 species